rnacentral:rRNA from 1 species
GACGGAGGGUGCAACCGUUGUUCGGAAUCACUGGGCGUAAAGGGCGCGUAGGCGGACUUGUAAGUCGGGAGUGAAAACUCGGGGCUCAACCCCGAGCCUGCUUCUGAAACUGCGAGUCUUGAGGACCGGAGAGGAAAGUGGAAUUCCUAGUGUAGCGGUGGAAUGCGUAGAUAUUAGGAAGAACACCAGUGGCGAAGGCGACUUUCUGGACGGUUCCUGACGCUGAGGCGCGAAAGCUAGGGGAGCAAACAGG